AAAGCGUGCGCAGGCGGUUAUAUAAGACAGAUGUGAAAUCCCCGGGCUCAACCUGGGAAUGGCGAUGGUGACUGCAAGGCUAGAGUUUGGCAGAGGGGGGUAGAAUUCCACGUGUAGCAGUGAAAUGCGUAGAUAUGUGGAGGAACACCGAUGGCGAAGGCAGCCCCCUGGGUCAAAACUGACGCUCAUGCACGAAAGCGUGGGGAGCAAACAGGAUUAGAUACCCGGGU
rnacentral:rRNA from 1 species